rnacentral:tRNA from 1 species
GCCGCCGUGGCGGAAAGGCAGACGCGAGGGACUUAAAAUCCCUUGUCCCGAAAGGGACGUGAUGGUUCGAAUCCAUCCGGCGGCA